UGUUUGAUCUUGAACAUAACUUACAACAUCAAUCAGCAUGUUUCAAUCAAAAUUGUACAGAAAAGAGUGUGAGUCUGUACCUGAACAAAUGUCAAAUCAUAUUUAUUGUAGAGAUGGCAAGUCAAUUUGAGUAACGUUAUCGUGUAUUCUACGUAAUUACGCAGUUUUACGUUAUCACGCAAUGACAUCACAAAGUCAUUUAGCAACAAAUCAACCUUCCUCUAGCAACUUCCCCUGAAAAUUAGUUGGCAACACUGGUCCAGAGCAUGAGUGGUAUACAGCCCUACAGCUAAGUGGCUUGUGGGGCAGGUUCAGUCUGUUCAGCAUCGUUGAUGUACUGGCUCAGCUCAUAGCUACUGGAGGACAGGCCUGACGCCUUGAAACUUGCCAGAGUCCCAGGAGCAUAACAGGAGGUCUGGAGGACAAGACUAGCCAAACCAAGAUAGGAGAAUGAGUGCGGAUGGGGAACAUCAUUACAACCAAGUUCCUAAAAUAAGUAUUAAACAGAGUGGGAAAACAGCAACACAGAUCUGUACAGUAUCUUUGUUAGAAGAAAUUAAUAUAAUUUAUUGAUCAUAAUAUUUAAAUGUUUACCUCUGUACCAGCCUCCCCAUUAUCUCUAGAACGGCCUUGCGGAAGGAAUAGCUACACUGUUUGUAUUCGGUCAUGUUUCCGGUCAUACAGCGUUCCUCAAUUGAGUUCCCUGAAUUCCUA